CCUGUGACUUGUUUCACAACUUCAGACACCAUCAUCCUGCAGCAGCACUGCACCCUUUCUAGUCAGGGUGUUGAUGACUUCCUCAAGGCCAAGACCACGUUCAAGAUUUUGGACUUUUGAUGCACUUGUGAUGAGCAAGCCAAGAGACACAAACCUGCCUGGCCACCUUUAGAAUACGACAGCACAGCCAGUGGCCUCUACUGGAUCCUGUACAACCUCACAAGACCCCCAGACACUAAGAGUGCUGCCAGCACAUGGUGCAAGAGUCCUGAGGGACCACAGUCCUGAAGACAUUGAAUGAUCUACUUCCAGGAAACUCAAACUAAGACACGCAUUUUUUCUGUCGGCUCCUACAAUCCUCAUAGACCUGUCAUUGUGCUGAGGAUCAGAGAGGGAACGUCACUUGCCCAAAGUCACACAGCUGAACAGUGAUGGAGUUCAACUUUGACCAUGCGCUGUCUGGUCCCAAGUUUUUAGGUGAAAAAAACUGGGGCAAAGAGCAAUACAAGAGAGUUGCCAAAAUUCAUACUGCUUGUCCAGGUUUGAAGCAAGCAGACUGCACCUAGAGUCCUUGUCUGUACCCAUGGCACCCUGGUUUCUCACGCAUCUCAUAAUGGAGUUCCACUUUGUGUCAAGCAUGGCAUUGAGCAGUUUCUAAUAAUAAACGUGUACCAAUUCUAUCAUCAAGCUGUUUAUGUUUUUUACAUUUCUGUUCUUGAUAAUUAUAUGCUAGUCUUUGAAUAUGAAGAUAAUGCUUCUGACCCAAUAUUCAUAAUG